rnacentral:lncRNA from 1 species
GCAAUGACUCCUGCACCACCAACUGCUUGGCUCCUCUGGCCAAAGUCAUCCAUGACCACUUCGGCAUCAUGAAGGGCCUCAUUACCACUGUCCAUGCCAUCAUUGCCACCUAGAAGACUGUGGAUGGCCCCUCUGGGAAGCUGUGGCAUGAUGGCCGAGGGCCUGCCCAGAACAUCAUCCCUGCUUCCAUUGGCACUGCCAAGGCUGUGGGCAGGUCAUCCCUGAGCUGAACAGGAAGCUCCUGGCCUUCCGUGUCUCCACCCACAACGUGUCAGUCUGACAUGCUGCCUGGAGAAAGCUGCCAUAUAUGACGACAUCAAGAAGGUGGUGAAGCAGGCAUCAGAGGGCCCCCUCAAGGGCAUCCUGGGCUACACUGAGGACCAGAUUGUCUCCUGUGAGUUCAACAGUAACACCCACUCUUCCACCUUCGACACCGGGGCUGGCAUUGCUCUCAAUGACCACUUUGUCAAACUCAUUUCCUGGUAUGACAAUGAAUUUGGCUACAGCAACCAGGUGGUGGACCUCAUGGUCCACAUGGCCUCCAAGGAGUAAGAGCCUCCUGGACCACCAGCCCCAGCAAGAACAAGAGGAAGUGAGAGGAGAUCCUACCAAUCAGACUCUGGGUAGUAUUUCACCUUAGUUCUUAACACCUUGGUUUCAGAUUCUCUUAUCCAGAUGUCAACUCAAGACCUGCUGCUUCUCCAAUCUUUCUAGAAAUCAUUUUGGAACCUAGAAGUAAAAGAAGGCCCUUGUCCACACUAGUAAGUACAUUUCAAAAUAUUGAAAAGGUUGUGGUAUCUAUAUUGAAAAUGACAAGGGGGACGCCUGGAUGGCUCAGCAGUUGAGCACCUGCCCCUGGCUCAGGGCAUGAUCUGCAGUCUCAGGAUGGAGUCCCACAUCAGGCUCCCUGCCUGGAGCCUGCUUCUCCCUCUGCCUAUGUCUCUGCCUUUCUCUCUGUGUCUUUCAUGAAUAAAUAAAUAGAAUCUUUUAAAAAAAUAAAAUGAAAUGAAAAUGACAGGGGUACUAACAUUAAUUAAAAUGUGUUUGAAAAAUGCUCCAAAUAUACAUUUUGAAAACAAGUGGAGUCACAGUAAACAAUGUAAAAUAUACAUCUGAAAGAAGAUUCAAAUAUUUAUUUGAAAACAAAGGAGAGGGGCACCUGAGUGGCUGAGUUGGUUAAGG